rnacentral:rRNA from 1 species
GUAGUCCACGCCGUAAACGAUGGAUACUUGUUGUUGGAGGUAUUGACCCCUUCAGUGACGCAGUUAACACGGUAAGUAUCCCGCCUGGGGAGUACGGUCGCAAGAUUAAAACUCAAAGAAAUUGACGGGGGCCGCACAAGCGGUGGAGUAUGUGGUUUAAUUCGAUGCAACGCGAAGAACCUUACCUACUUUUGACAUGUACUGGAAGACUGGCAGAAAUGUCGUCGCCCGCAAGGGCCGGUACACAGGUGCUGCAUGGCUGUCGUCAGCUCGUGUCGUGAGAUGUUGGGUUAAG